GCCGGCAUAGCUCAGUGGUAGAGCGGCACCUUCGUAAGGUGUAGGCCGAGAGUUCGAUCCUCUCUGUCGGCU
rfam:Ectocarpus siliculosus strain Ec 32, whole genome shotgun sequence assembly, chromosome LG15